UAAGAGACGGCGGCAUAUACGUCUGCUUUUUUCUCCUUAUUCUCUUCCAGUUCAAUGUAUCUAUUCGAUUUACAUUGUUUAUGAUAAUGCCCGGUUGGGGGCAAUACCGGUUCGAUCCCGGAUUAUCUGCUAUACUGCACCCGGUUUGUUUUCAAAUGAGAAAACAGUCAGGCCGGGGAAAGUACAAAAGCUCAUUGACAAGUAGGGCGAGGAAAAAAGUCAAAGACAAAAGAAAAGAGCGUUUAGGAAAAAACCUUUGUAAGAAGGCGAGAAAGAACUGAGUCCAGGGAUGGAUUCAAAGAAAAGGAAGCUUACAAGGGCGUACG
rnacentral:misc_RNA from 1 species